rnacentral:lncRNA from 1 species
UCUGAAGUGUGACGUCAUACGACGAGAAACAAUUCCUAGAGAGCAUACGAUCACCUAUAUAAAUGGGGAUUGAAAGGUAGAGCAGUGCUCAUACUCCUUUAUGUAGAGCUACAUUAGUCACAAACUAGUAGCUGAUUUCUCCCUCUUUCCACCGCUGAUAUUAAAAAAUAUACCAAUGAAUGUGCCAAGCACAGAUAUUUGAGCGGAGUGGGGCUUGCUACUCUCGUCAGAAAACGUGCAUGGCCCUUUAAGAGCGGAGGGAGGGUGUUCUGGACGGUUUGGUUGCGGUGUUUUUGUCUCCCUGUCAAUGAGCGCGCCUGGCCCAAGACGGCUAAACGAAUUUCUAAGCGUGCUGACCGUGACAAAGAGGGGAUAGAAGAGGAGAGGAGCCUGAGCAGGAGACUGGGGAGGAGAGACCAUCCCCGCAGCAUUUUGAGCAGCUGGUAUGAAGCGGAAAAUAAAUCCCUCUUUCCUAAUUCAUAAACCAUUCCUGUUCCCAGCCUUGUGCGGAAUAACAAUCACACAAAAGGCUGCUAUUUAAGACGGAGUUGGAAAACUCCACAAAGAUCUGCUUUAGGUAGCAAGAAGCAAGCUAUUUCUUACUUUACUCUCAGCACAGUUUAAUCCCUUGUUGUGGCAAUAGGACUUAGGUGAGUCACUGAGUAAGACAAUGGGUUGGACACACUUGGAGAGUGAACGUGCGACUGUUCUCCCUUUCCACCACACUUCAUUACUUAACCACCUCUGAUUAGAAAUAAUUCGACGGUACACAUUUAUGUUGAGGAACCAGCUGCACACUAGCACAUACUGAAGGAGCAAAUUCAUUACAUCCACCGAGCCACACGGACAUCCAACCCCACGUCCAGAGUCUCUGGGUCCAUCUGAUUCUCACCCUCGUCCCUAAUCUGGUUGGAGGAGGGGGUUGGGGGGGGGCGCUCGUGUUAACUUCCGCUGGCCUGGAAUGUGGGGAGGAGGGGAGGUGGAUGGGGGCAUCAGUCUGGGGCAACGCAUUCCUUCUGGAGAAGGGUAGAGAAUGGCUGGAGGAGGCGAAGGUCUGAAGGGUGGUGGGCUGGCUAUGCUGGAGCUGCUGGGGAGGAGUGAAGGUUACACUGG